ensembl:processed_transcript
AUUGGGAACCUGGGCUUGCUCAUAGUGAGCAAGGAGUUCUGUAGGGAGCGACGUGGCUUAAACAGCAGGAUCUACACAAAGUCCCGCCCUAGGUUUCUCCUGGCCCUUUCUUCUCCUCUGAUGGCUCGCUCCAUCUCUUUAUUCCCUCAGGAAGGGACGCCAUGGCCUCCAUAGGUCAGACCCGCAACUUCCUGAGCAGGGCCUCUUGCCGCCUUCAUUUGGAGCCUAACAAAGAGUACUUGAUCAUGGGGAUGGACGGGGAAACCAGUGACAACAAGGGAGACCCCCAGUACUUGCUAGACUCAAAUACCUGGAUUGAGGAGAUGCCUUCGGAACACCUGUGCAAGAGCACCCGCCAGCGGGCAGCCUGUAACCAGCUCAAAGACUUCCUGAUGGAGUACAGCAGCCAGGGGUGCCAAGUGUGAGGCCUUAGGACUCUGGCUCCUUGAGCUCAGCUCAGGGUCAGGGCCUUGCUGGAUGAGGGGCUCUGCUCUAUAGGGUAAAUAAAAGAAAAGCUUUCUGACAGCCAA